UUGGAGAAGUCAAGACUAACUUGUCAGUAAACUAUAUAUGGCUCUAUCAUAUUUAGUUUGGCAAAAUCAUCAGUACAUGUAAAUAAAAUAUAGUUAAAGACAAAAUCUGAUACAUAUGUCUCAUUAAAACUUGUUUAAUUUCAUUAGACAUUUGUAAACAAACGGUCGGCCAUUUUUUUUGGUUAAUCACGUGUUACAAAUACAAUUGUAACAACACACACGCCAAUACUUUGUUGUGUUUAACCAGGAAAUACUGACUCCGACAGUUCUUAUUUAAAAUAAAUAUACAUGUAAAAAGUAUACUAUUCGGUAAAAAAUGAUAAUUUUGAUUAAACAUUAUUUAUUUUAAACUAUCCCAAGAUGCACUUUUCCAAGAUUUAGGGGGUUCUGAUUGGUCAGUAUUGGCGCACUUUAUGAUUCCGAGCGAAGGUUAAAAUGGACAAGAAGGUCCUGUUGUAAAAUGGAGAAUUGAGAAGCAUUAAUAGUCUCUACAACAAGGAGAUAAUGCAGGAAGGAAGAACUCAUGUCAAGCAUUAACAGCAUACAAAGGCAAUGUUUCCGGUGAUUAGUUGCUCCUCUGUUCGGUGAUUCGGGUGAAAUUUGGACCAGCUGGACGAUGUGAACGCAAGAUAAAUAGAACAGACAUAAAGUACAGCCCAGUGAAAGGAACAAGUUCAUCGCAAGAAGAAGAAUUUUAAUGCUACCACUGUCCAGAACUACUAAGUCUGCUGUAACCAUGAUGUGAUCAUAUGAGUGCUUCACCAGUCUGGACAAUGCUCGACAUUCCCCCAAAAAGGCUUAUUUCCAUAAACCACGACUCGGGUUACAUCAACAACAGCCAAGGACACUCCUUAUUGAUUCGAAUGGACACAUCUCUACGACCCGACUAAACCUCUGCAGAACAAGACUUUUUAACUGUAAAGUAUUCUCAUUUAAAAAAAACCUAUAAACUAUAAAAGUACUUUUUUAUAUGAUCAAAUACCAGUAUAUUACAAUGUCUGUCUUUAAGCUAGAAUCUUAGAAAAUCACAUGGUUUUGACUUAUUAAAUGAUUGAUUAGAUAUUAACUUUCAUUUUCUUAAAUAAUUUGUAAUAUUUGCAAAUAUUGCAUAAAAUAUUAGACUCCAUGUAACAUAUACUCACACCUCCAAGUUGAUAAGUGAUAACUACUUUUUUUCCAUUUUCUUUGUUUAAA